UCAGGCCUAACACAUGCAAGUCGAGCGGAAACGAGUUAUCUGAACCUUCGGGGAACGAUAACGGCGUCGAGCGGCGGACGGGUGAGUAAUGCCUAGGAAAUUGCCCUGAUGUGGGGGAUAACCAUUGGAAACGAUGGCUAAUACCGCAUGAUGCCUACGGGCCAAAGAGGGGGACCUUCGGGCCUCUCGCGUCAGGAUAUGUCUAGGUGGGAUUAGCUAGUUGGUGAGGUAAGGGCUCACCAAGGCGACGAUCCCUAGCUGGUCUGAGAGGAUGAUCAGCCACACUGGAACUGAGACACGGUCCAGACUCCUACGGGAGGCAGCAGUGGGGAAUAUUGCACAAUGGGCGCAAGCCUGAUGCAGCCAUGCCGCGUGUGUGAAGAAGGCCUUCGGGUUGUAAAGCACUUUCAGUCGUGAGGAAGGUAGUGUAGUUAAUAGCUGCAUUAUUUGACGUUAGCGACAGAAGAAGCACCGGCUAACUCCGUGCCAGCAGCCGCGGUAAUACGGAGGGUGCGAGCGUUAAUCGGAAUUACUGGGCGUAAAGCGCAUGCAGGUGGUUUGUUAAGUCAGAUGUGAAAGCCCGGGGCUCAACCUCGGAAUUGCAUUUGAAACUGGCAGACUAGAGUACUGUAGAGGGGGGUAGAAUUUCA
rnacentral:rRNA from 1 species